UGAGUGACCUGCCGAUUCGCGGGGGAUAGCCGGCCCAACGGCCGGGUAAUACCGCAUACGUUCUUUUUGGGGCAUCCCGAAAAGAAGAAACCUCCGGGGCGAAUCGAGGGACUCGCGGCCUAUCAGCUAGUUGGCGAGGUAACGGCUCACCAAGGCUACGACGGGUAGCUGGUCUGAGAGGAUGGCCAGCCACAUUGGGACUGAGAAACGGCCCAGACUCCUACGGGAGGCAG
rnacentral:rRNA from 1 species